rnacentral:rRNA from 2 species
CCGAAUGGGGAAACCCAGUGUGAUUCGUCACACUAUCAUUAACUGAAUCCAUAGGUUAAUGAGGCGAACCGGGGGAACUGAAACAUCUAAGUACCCCGAGGAAAAGAAAUCAACCGAGAUUCCCCCAGUAGCGGCGAGCGAACGGGGAGGAGCCCAGAGCCUGAAUCAGCAUGUGUGUUAGUGGAAGCGUCUGGAAAGGCGCGCGAUACAGGGUGACAGCCCCGUACACAAAAGCGCAUGUG